rnacentral:rRNA from 1 species
CCCUUAGAUGUCCGGGGCUGCACGCGCGCUACACUGGAGGAAUCAGCGUGCUAAAACCAUUGUCGAAAGGCAUUGGUAAACCCAUUAAAAUCCUACGUGAUUGGGAUCGGGAAUUGCAAUUAUUUCCCUUGAACGAGGAAUUCCCAGUAAGUGUGGGUCAUAAGCUCGCGUUGAUUACGUCCCUGCCCUUUGUACACACCGCCCGUCGCUGCCCGGGACUGAGCCGUUUCGAGAAAAGCGGGGACUGCUGCUGUCGGGGCUUUCGGGCCUUGGCUUCGGUGGAAACCGCUUUAAUCGCAGUGGCUUGAACCGGGCAAAANUCGUAACA